AUGGACGACCCCAUGCUGUCCCCCGUCAUCGUCGAGGUCGCGCACGCCCCUUCCCCUCGGGCGAAUCUCGUCGCCGGCCAUGUUGGCCCCGCCGCCGUCGCCCAAGCACACGCCGCGCCUGCCCGCAAGCGGCAGGGCAACGUGGUCGUGCAGGGCGGGAAUCCGGCUGCCCCCGCCGCGAUGGCCCGCGCUCCGGGCGCCAACGCCGCACUCGUGACUUGUUAUCGUUUGCUAUGCGAUGGUUCGAACAAUGCAACAACCGAGUUCGUGAACUUGUUGGACACGAACGCGGUUGACAUUGAUCAAGCCCCUUUCGAACCAUUCGACUACAAUGAAACGGAGGGCGGCGUGGACGAUCAUGGUUGUGCGGACGAGUUGGAGGAGAUCGAAGCGGAAGCGUUUGAGCAAUCACAAGCAAAAACUGGGAAAAGCCAAAGAUCGAAGAACUACACGAUCUUGGAAGAUCAAGCUUUGAUCAAAGCAUGGAGUGCGGUGUCUCUUGAUGCAUGCACGGGACUCCACGCACAUUUCGGUCGCUUCAAGGUCGUUGAGAGAACAUCAAGCCUAUGUGCAGCCGUUGGGCAGCUUGCUUGGAGCAAGUACGCAAUACACCUCCAAGUGGCACCGUGGAGUCCGACCAUAUACAAGGACAUGGAAGCUUCGAAAGGCAGAUUCUUGAAAUUAGAGCAUUGUUGGGAGUUGCUCCAAAAGUGCGAGAAGUGGAAGUUGAUCGACAAAGAAUCCCCACCAAAGAGAGGCUCACUUACAAACAUGGAUGAAGAUGAGGAUGAUGAUCGCCCAAGAAAUUUGCACAAGCCGGAUGGCGAUAAGAAGACUAAAGAGAAAAUGAAGAGAGAGCAAGAAGCAUCGAGCUUGAGGGAGAAGAUUGAUGCCAUGGAAGAGGGGCUCCGCAAAGCUGCCAUUGAGGAGAGAAAAUCACGCGCCUCUGAAAACAAAUCGAUGUCAUUGUUGCUCGCCGAAGAGAACAAGAUCAUGUCAAUGAACCGCAAUGACAUGGACGACGUCACCAAAACAUGGCAUGAUAUGGCAAGGAGAGAGAUCUUGAAGAAGAGAAUGGUCGCCUCGGCCGGUCUUCGCGUUCCGGUGAUGUUUUCUCUGCUCCAUAUGGUGGCAACGUGGAUGAUUUCGGUGCGGGAGUUGGAACAAGCGAUGGAGGUGGCUACGGUGGCGCCGAUGAACUUCAAGAUGAACUCCAUGGCACGGAGUGAAGAUCGACCCCAAGAUGAUGCCGGACAUGGGCGCAAACCUUUGCAUGCCCUCUUUUACAUUUGCAGUUUUUCUGUUUACGGGUCGUUGCGCUGGUGCCCGAGCAGAACCCGCAUAGCCGACCCGCAAAAAGCAUAUUCCGCGAACAUAUCUUUUUACGGAUCCGUUGGGGGGUCUGCAUCUGUGCCAGCCCGCGCCGGCCCGCAAAAGCGAUUUUGCGCGAACUGCAAACGCGUUUUGCGGGAGACAGCGCUACGUAGCAUCCGUGACAAGAUAAAGCGGCGGUGGCCGGUGGGCUCCACAAAAUUCCAAGCGAGGAACCCGGCUCGACUGCCUGCCGUUCUCCUCCUCUCUUCCCUCCAUUCACUCCACCUUCCAUCACGCCACCACCCCCGCCCCCGCGCCCUCAAUUUCCGCCAGCCCGCCUUCUCUCUCCCCUUCCUCGCCGCGCAUGCGCCGGCGCGGCUGCUGCUAGGCGGCGCAGACGACAAACCCAGCGACCAGCGGCCCGUCCGUCCACCCUAG
rnacentral:rRNA from 1 species